rnacentral:lncRNA from 1 species
GGGGGGGAAGUAGAGGGGUUAUCCAGUCAUAAGGUACAAACAGUUAAAAUAAUACUAGUAAAUUCAGAUUAAAAAGAAUUACUGAGACCUAAAUAAAAAUAAAGGAAGGGACCGAGAUAAAAUUUGUUAAUCUGAAAUCAAAAUUGAUUUUCAAAACUAUUUUUUUUUAAAAAAAUUACAAUUUUUAUGUCCAAACGUUUGCUAAGUCUUGUUAAUGGGUAGCAUGGUCUUUUCCGAUCAGUGGAACUUAUCCUGUCAAACCUAAUAAAAAAGCAUCUAUGAUUUCGUACUAAAUUUUACUUACCACAUUCGAUAAAAAUUUAGAUCAGUUGUUUUGUUUUGAGGAGAAAUGGUGCCCG